rnacentral:rRNA from 1 species
AUGGAGGAGGUGUGGCCGGCUAUCGCUCAGCGUGCCUCGACAAUCGCCGAGUGCAUUGACAUCAGCGCCUUUGCUCCUGAGAUAAAUGACGACGGCAUUGCCCAGCCGGAGGAAUGGUUCGGGCUGGACCCGGCAGAGGGUGAGGACUCGGCGGAGGAGAUCGCUUCCAGCGAUGAAGGUGAAGACGACGAAGGAGAGGAAGGCGAAGACGUCGAGCCGGCCGGUGAAGCGGCCAGCCAGCCUCAGCUUGACCGUGCCUCCAGCAACGAGGCGCGUGCUAGCGUGCCCUCUGCGGGAGGUGGUGAUCAUGCCGAGGUUCGCCAGCCGGCCACUCCUCCAGCCAGCACUGCCGUCUCUACCAACCUGCCCGACUCGCCAGUCGUUCCCUUGGCUUAA